rnacentral:rRNA from 1 species
UACAUGGGGUGCAAACGUUGCUCGGAAUUAUUGGGCGUAAAGCGCGCGUAGGCGGUUACUCAAGUCGGAUGUGAAAGCCCUCGGCUUAACUGAGGAAGUGCACCCGAAACUGAGCAGCUAGAGUACUAAAGAGGGUCGCGGAAUUCCCGGUGUAGAGGUGAAAUUCGUAGAUAUCGGGAGGAACACCGGUGGCGAAGGCGGCGACCUGGGUAGAUACUGACGCUGAGGCGCGAAAGCGUGGGGAGCGAACAGG